GCCGACCUGUGCUGGUAUUGUAAUUAAGAGCUAAUACACCAUUCUCUGGUGAACUGCAGCUGCGGCCGAAUUUGAUUGUGUGCAUCAUCCUGCAGAUAUUUUGAAAUUUUGUGGACG